rnacentral:rRNA from 1 species
AUUGAACGCUGGCGGCAGGCAUAACACAUGCAAGUCGAGCGCGCGGCGGACGGGUGAGUAAUGUCUGGGAAACUGCCUGAUGGAGGGGGAUAACUACUGGAAAAGGUAGCUAAUACCGCAUACCAUCAGAUGUGCCCAGAUGGGGUGAGCUAGUAGGUGGGGUAACGGCUAACCUAGGCGACGAUCCCUAGCUGGUCUGAGAGGAUUACCAGCCACACUGCAGAGGCGACACGGUCCAGACGCCUACGGUGGGCAUCAGUGGGGAAUAUUGCACAAGGGGCGCAAGCCUGAUGCAGCCGUGCCGCGUGUGUGACGAAGGCCUUCGGGUUGUAAAGCACUUUCAGCGGGGAGGCGUUACCCGCAGAAGAAGCACCGGCUAACUCCGGGCCAGCAGCCGCGGUAAUUC